GGGGAAUUUUGGACAAUGGGCGCAAGCCUGAUCCAGCCAUGCCGCGUGUCUGAAGAAGGCCUUCGGGUUGUAAAGGACUUUUGUCAGGGAAGAAAAGGCUGUUGCCAAUAUCGACAGCUGAUGACGGUACCUGAAGAAUAAGCACCGGCUAACUACGUGCCAGCAGCCGCGGUAAUACGUAGGGUGCGAGCGUUAAUCGGAAUUACUGGGCGUAAAGCGAGCGCAGACGGUUACUUAAGCAGGAUGUGAAAUCCCCGGGCUCAACCUGGGAACUGCGUUCUGAACUGGGUAACUAGAGUGUGUCAGAGGGAGGUAGAAUUCCACGUGUAGCAGUGAAAUGCGUAGAGAUGUGGAGGAAUACCGAUGGCGAAGGCAGCCUCCUGGGAUAACACUGACGUUCAUGCUCGAAAGCGUGGGUAGCAAACAGGAUUAGAUACCCUGGUAGUCCACGCCCUAAACGAUGUCAAUUAGCUGUUGGGCAACUUGAUUGCUUAGUAGCGUAGCUAACGCGUGAAAUUGACCGCCUGGGGAGUACGGUCGCAAGAUUA
rnacentral:rRNA from 1 species